rnacentral:rRNA from 1 species
AUUGAACGCUGGCGGCAUGCUUUACACAUGCAAGUCGAACGGUCACAGGUUAAGCUGACGAGUGGCGAACGGGUGAGUAAUGCAUCGGAACGUGCCCGGUCGUGGGGGAUAACGCAGCGAAAGCUGCGCUAAUACCGCAUACGAUCUGAGGAUGAAAGCGGGGGACCGUAAGGCCUCGCGCGAUCGGAGCGGCCGAUGUCAGAUUAGGUAGUUGGUGGGGUAAAGGCUCACCAAGCCAACGAUCUGUAGCUGGUCUGAGAGGACGACCAGCCACACUGGGACUGAGACACGGCCCAGACUCCUACGGGAGGCAGCAGUGGGGAAUUUUGGACAAUGGGCGAAAGCCUGAUCCAGCAAUGCCGCGUGCAGGAAGAAGGCCUUCGGGUUGUAAACUGCUUUUGUACGGAGCGAAAAGGUCUCCUCUAAUACAGGGGGCCCAUGACGGUACCGUAAGAAUAAGCACCGGCUAACUACGUGCCAGCAGCCGCCGUAA